UUCAAAAAGUCUAGAAAAUAACAGAAUCUAACAUAACAAAACUGUUCAAAUUAUCUUUAGACUUAUUUUUUGUAUUGGCUUGUGUUUUUGUUGUUGUUUUUAAAAACUCCUUCCUGGUUUAUAUGCUGCCUUAAUUCAAUAUAUAAGGCCAUGAAGUUCAGUGUUCAAGCUUUAGAACCUAGUAGUUUUGGACUGUAAUUUAUUUUCUACCACUUACAAACUGUGUAAAAUGAAUAGAGCUCAAUUUCUCCACCUGUCUAAGCCUUUGAUUUCUCAUCCAUAAAACAGGGUUGCUAGCACUUAUUUAUUUCACUAGAUUUAUUACAAGGAUUAUAUGCAAAGAAUAUUCCUUAGUUGUAUAGUAGAGUGGCUUGUACAAAGUACCAAUUCUCCAGAGCAGGGCUGAGUUAAUGGUAGCUUUUAUGAUUGUGUUUUACAGACAAAGGAAAAGCGACUCAGUGAUUUCUGCUGUGGAGAUGCUUAAAAUCAACUUGGCUCCCUACUGAAGCAGGCCAACAAUCUGUCUCUGGAAUCACUGCCUUGGUUCCAAAGGACUUCUUUUUCCCUGACCUCCAUUGUAUCCAACACCACGGGACAGUUUUUGUAAGCAGAUAAAACCAAUAAUGUACACAGGUACCAACUUGGAAAAAAAAUGGUUAAUUCAGCUUACUAAGAGCAGAAAAAAAAUUCUAAUUGAUUGCUGGUAAUUAAAAAACAAAACAGAUCAUAAAAAACUAUUACUAAAA